CUACGAUUGCUCAGGAGCGCGUCCACGCCCUAAAGGCAAGGCGCUUAACCAAUCACUGCAGCCGCGUGGGGCAUCACGGGAACUCCAGGGCUAUAAAAGACCUGGUUGCUAUUUUAUGCUUCACGACUCACUCAUCCUUUAAGUAAGCAGGGUGGGGCAGGGUGCGCGUGCGCGGUUUUAAUACUCCUCCCUAAACUGCCAACUCUUCGCGCAAGCGAAGUAGCCUAGCCUUGCCUAGUUUUACGCGUGCGCACUAACGGCCCUGGCCCCGGAAGACCAGACGCCUGCGCAGUCGGAACUACGGUGACAGUCCCCCGGGUGGGGUAUGGGCCAGUCAUGGCGGAGCCUUGGUCUGGGCAGUCCUUGCAGGCUCUUCCGACCACGGUGUUGGGCGCGCUGGGCACCCUGGGCAGCGAGUUCCUGCGGGAGUGGGAGGCGCAGGACAUGCGCGUGACCCUCUUCAAGCUGCUGCUACUCUGGUUGGUGUUAAGUCUCCUGGGCAUCCAGCUGGCGUGGGGGUUCUACGGGAGCACGGUGACAGGGCUGUAUCACCGCCCAGUCCCUUUAGGGCCCCCACGAGACUCUUCACCAAACACCGCCACUGGCCUCAAACCUGACCUGGGCUGAUACCUGCUUAGAUCCCCACCCCCAGCCUGCUGCAGCUCUGGAUGUGUUCCUGCCCCCAGGUCUGGGCGGCCAGAACGGAUCCACACCUGAUGGCUCCACGCAUUUCACUUCGUGGGAAACAACAGCAAAUGAACCUCUCAAAACCCACAGAGAAUAAGGGAAGGCAGCAGAGGGAUCUCCAGGGACAUCACCGGGUCUGCUGGUUCCCACACUGGGUUCUGCUGCUGCCCAGACCCCAGAGACUGCAUGGGGGGAGGGAUUGGGGGCAGGGAGUACCCCAGUGCUUGAAGACCUGGCCCUCCACUGCUCUUGGCCUUGCCUCCAGCAGCUCCAGGCAUUGGGCCAGUAAAGUUUGCCUCUACCCAGAUCUGGGUGCCUUAAGGAGAGAAGACAUGUUCCUCCUCUCUCAGGGGUCAGCUCAGGAGGAGCCUCUGGGUUGGGGAGGCCAACAGUCCAUUUUCUGCCUUGGCUUUUUCCUGUCCCCCUUCCGAUCUGCUGGGAUGUGACCCCAUAGAAAUUUCCUUGAGAAGAAACUUGAGGUUGACCAGCUCUGGGAUUUGUAAGGGAAGUCUGUUUUCUCCUAAGCUCUUGAAUUUGUUUUUGCUUUGUUGGCAGGGAGCCAGGAAAGACUGGCCUAGACAUGGCCUUAUACUCUAUGGUUACUUAGCUGGCCAUUCAAGUGUAAGGCAGGGGGCGCUGGCACUACCUGGACUUGGAGGCACCAAACACCCACUUCCCUAGCCCAUCCAGAGCUUUUCAGGUGUGAGUCAGGCUAUGGAAAUUGUCCUUUCCUGAAUAUUAACUCACUUAUACUCUUCUCAAUCCUUGUUGGGAGGUUGGGUGCCUGAAAGACGCUAAGCCCCAAGGGUGACCUUCCACCCCCACCCAUGGGGUUGUACCCUGUCCCCUCACAGAGAGGUACUAAGCAGUUACCGCUGAGUGGCUCUGCCACUUCAUCACUUCCCAUCUUGACCCGGAACCACAAGAGCUUCAUCCUAAGAGGCCACAGGCUCAGCUCGUCCCCACUAGCACCAUCUCAGCCCCCAAGAACCCUCCCUCAACAGCCGGGAAGAACCACAGGCUGGGCAGGCCUGCCACUUACACAGUGGGCCAGGGGAGCUUCCAAAGGUGUGGGAGGCACAUGCCAGUUUCUGAAAGCAGCAUGACCCUAGAACUGCCUCCCUUCCUGAAGGCUGUAUUUCUAUACUUGUUUCUGCUGGACCACCAGCUACCUCAAUAUCCCGCUGCCUGCUUCCUCUAUCCAUCUGGCAGCCUUUGGCUAGGCCACCUUUGCAGCAGAAACACACUGGAAGUAGGACUACACUGAACUUGUGUACGUGUAUCUACUUUGGAGGUAUCUUCUGACUGGUAGGAUGAUGGUUUUGCAGCCUCAGGCCUACCCACUGACACCACCACACAUAGAAUCAGGGUCUCACAUUUUACCCCAGGUUCAGCUGAGGAUGUGGCUUAUUAAACUUGGAAGUGCA